rnacentral:lncRNA from 1 species
UCCUCACAAGGACUGCCUUGGCCAAGGUCUUACUAAAUUGAAACACAAAGCAUUCUCUUCAAUCUUUUAGAGUGGUCAAUUCCAUCUUGACUUACGCAUCGACUUCAUAAGUAUUUGACUGUGCCCAGAAAUCUUCCGAUCUUGAAUUAAAAAUUCUAGUAGUCCGGCACCAAAGCAUAGUGAGUUGCUUGCAAGUCAUCCUAGUGAUCUCAGAUCGGAGGGACACUUAUAUUCAUAUCCCUUUGAAAUAACUCUUGACAACAGAGUGCUCCAAAGUUGGUCACGUUCAGUGAAAUAUACUCCUAUAUUUCACCUA